ensembl:lncRNA TMEM212-AS1 TMEM212 antisense RNA 1
ACCGUCAUCUAGCCACAGCGGCAUCGGCUGAGACCUUCAUCCUGAUUGUUCCUUGGGUGCUGUUUAGUGCCAGCCACUGAAGAGAACCUCCUUGUUUCCACCCACGUGGCCCCAUCUGGUUUCAGGGCCUCCUCUGUGCUAUUUUGGGGUGCGAGGAGAUCAUUUUUCAACGCCUACAGCAUGGCGGGACUGGGAACUCCACAGCCUCCGCAACACUUUUCGUGCCGCCAUUUCUUCUCAGGGUCUUGCCGCCUUUCUCAAGCUCAGCCUGUGGAGUAAAGCGCAGGCACAUCUCUCAGAGACGAGGUCCAUUAUAUUGCCCAGGCUGGUCUCAAGCUCCUGGGCUCAGGUGAUCCUCCCACCUUGGCCUCCCCAAAUGCUGGAAUUACAGUUAUUGCUUGAUGGAUUCUGCUAACUCCCAGGAGAAUCCAAGUGGGAGGACAAGUAGAAGAAAAAAGAGUCCAAAGGCUGGAGCCCUCAGUUUGUUGUUUAUGGAACAUUCCUGCAGUCCCCAGAAGGGGCAUGAAAACAUUUGCUUAGAAAAAACAAUACUAAAAUUUAUAUGGAACUACAAAAGACCCAGAAUAGCUAAAGAUAUCCUAAGCACAAAGAAUGAAACUGGAGGAAUUACAUUACCUUACUUCAAAUCAUACUAUGGAGCCAUAGUAACCAAAACAGCAUGGUACUGGCAUAAAAACAGACACACAGACUAAUGGAACUGAAUAGAGAACCCAGAAACAAAUCCACACAUCUACAGUGAAUUCAUUUUUUACAAAGGUGCCAAGAAUAUCCACUGGAGAAAAGACAGUCUCUUUAAUAAGUGGUGCUGGAAAAACUGGAUAUCCAUACGCGCAAGAAUGGAACUAAA